UUUUUAACUUUAGUGGCGAACGGGUGCGUAAUACGUGAGAAUCUGCCCUUAGGAGAAGAAUAACUGCUGGAAACGGCUGCUAAAUCUUCAUAUGUCGAGAGAUGAAAUAGCUUAGGCUGCCUAAGGAUGAGCUCACGCCUGAUUAGCUAGUUGGUGAGGUAAUGGCUCACCAAGGCCACGAUCAGUAGCUGGUUUGAGAGAACGAUCAGCCACACUGGGACUGAGACACGGCCCAGACUCCUCCGGGAGGCAGCAGUGAGGAAUUUUCCGCAAUGGGCGAAAGCCUGACGGAGCAAUACCGCGUGAGGGAUGAAGGAUUUUGGUCUG
rnacentral:rRNA from 1 species